rnacentral:rRNA from 1 species
GGAUUGUUCUCGUAGCUUGCUAUGAGAACAAUUAGUGGCAGACGGGUGAGUAAUGCAUAGGAAUCUACCUAGUAGUAUAGGAUAGCCACUAGAAGUGGUGGGUAAUACUGUAUAAUCCCUGCGGGGGAAAGAUUUAUCGCUACAUGAUGAGCCUAUGUUAGAUUAGCUAGUUGGUGGGGUAAUGGCCUACCAAGGCAGUGAUCUAUAGCUGGUCUGAGAGGAAGAUCAGCCACACUGGAACUGAGACACGGUCCAGACUCCUACGGGAGGCAGCAGUGGGGAAUAUUGGACAAUGGGCGCAAGCCUGAUCCAGCUAUGCCGCGUGAGUGAGGAAGGCCUUAGGGUUGUAAAACUCUUUCAGUGGGGAAGAUAAUGACGGUACCCACAGAAGAAGUCCCGGCAAACUCCGUGCCAGCAGCCGCGGUAAUACGGAGGGGGCAAGCGUUGUUCGGAAUUAUUGGGCGUAAAGGGCAUGUAGGUGGUUUGGUAAGUUAAAGGU